rnacentral:rRNA from 1 species
AUUGAACGCUGGCGGCAGGCCUAACACAUGCAAGUCGAACGAGUGGCGGACGGGUGAGUAAUGUCUGGGAAACUGCCUGAUGGAGGGGGAUAACUACUGGAAACGGUAGCUAAUACCGCAUACCAUCGGAUGUGCCCAGAUGGGAUUAGCUAGGAGGUGGGGUAAAGGCUCACCUAGGCGACGAUCCCGAGCUGGUCUGAGAGGAUGACCAGCGAGAGUGGAACUGCGCAACGGUGCAGACUCCGACGGGAGGCAGCAGUGGUGAAGAUGGCACAAUGGGCGCAAGCCUGAUGCAGGCAUGCCGCGGGUAGGAAGAAGGCCUUCGGGUUGUAAAGUACUUUCAGCGGGGAGGCGUUACCCGCAGAAGAAGCACCGGCUAACUCCGUGCCAGCCGCCGCGGUAAUUC